rnacentral:rRNA from 1 species
CAAUAGCGUAUAUUUAAGUUGUUGCAGUUAAAAGCUCGUAGUUGGAUUUCGGAUGUGAACGACCGGUCCGCCGUUGCGGUGUGCACUGGACGUUUGUAUCUUGCUGUCGGGGACGCGCUCCUGACCUUAACUGGGAGGGACGCGGAGUCGGCGCUGUUACUUUGAAAAAUUAGAGUGUUCAAAGCAGGCAACCGCUCUGAAUACAUUAGCAUGGAAUAACGCUAUAGGACUCCUGUCCUAUUUCGUUGGUCUCGGGACGGGAGUAAUGAUUAAGAGGAACAGUUGGGGGCAUUCGUAUUUCAUGUCAGAGGUGAAAUUCUUGGAUUAUGAAAGACGAACUUCUGCGAAAGCAUUUGCCAAGGAUGUUUUCAUUAAUUCAAGAACGAAAGUUGGGGGCGUCGAAGAUGAUUAGAUACCAU